rfam:Salmo salar isolate Sally breed double haploid chromosome ssa29, whole genome shotgun sequence.
ACAAUAGUGGUUCAGUGGUAGAAUUCUUGCCUACCAUGCAGGGGACCCGGGUUCGGUUCCCAGCCCAUGCA